rnacentral:rRNA from 1 species
CACUCCUGCGGGAGGCAGCAGUGGGGAAUUUUGGACAAUGGGCGAAAGCCUGAUCCAGCAAUGCCGCGUGAGUGAAGAAGGCCUUCGGGUUGUAAAGCUCUUUUGUCAGGGAAGAAACGGUGAGAGCUAAUAUCUCUUGCUAAUGACGGUACCUGAAGAAUAAGCACCGGCUAACUACGUGCCAGCAGCCGCGGUAAUACGUAGGGUGCAAGCGUUAAUCGGAAUUACUGGGCGUAAAGCGUGCGCAGGCGGUUUUGUAAGUCUGAUGUGAAAUCCCCGGGCUCAACCUGGGAAUUGCAUUGGAGACUGCAAGGCUAGAAUCUGGCAGAGGGGGGUAGAAUUCCACGUGUAGCAGUGAAAUGCGUAGAUAUGUGGAGGAACACCGAUGGCGAAGGCAGCCCCCUGGGUCAAGAUUGACGCUCAUGCACGAAAGCGUGGGGAGCAAACAGGAUUAGAAACCCGUGUAGUCCCAUGA